rnacentral:rRNA from 1 species
GCUAGUAAUCGUGGAUCAGCAUGCCACGGUGAAUACGUUCCCGGGCCUUGUACACACCGCCCGUCAAACCAUGAGAGUUGGCAACACCCGAAGCCUGUAGCUUAACCGCAAGGAUGGCGCAGUCGAAGGUGGGGUCGAUGAUUAGGGUUAAGUCGUAACAAGGUAGC